CCUACGGGUGACAGCAGUGAGGAAUAUUGGUCAAUGGUCGGGAGACUGAACCAGCCAAGCCGCGUGAGGGAUGAAGGUACAGAGUAUUGUAAACCUCUUUUGUCAGGGAACAAAGGCGGAGACGCGUCCCCGGAUGAGUGUACCUGAAGAAAAAGCAUCGGCUAACUACGUGCCAGCAGCCGCGGUAAUACGGAGGAGGCAAGCGUUAUCCGGAUUUAUUGGGUGUAAAGGGUGCGUAGGCGGCCGGGUAAGUCAGGUGUGAAAUCCCAUGGCUUAACCAUGGAACUGCUUUGGAAACUGUGCAGCUAGAGAGCAGGAGAGGUAGGCGGAAUGUGUAGUGUAGCGGUGAAAUGCGUAGAUAUCAGGAGGAACACCGGUGGCGAAGGCAGCUUACUGGGCUGUAACUGACGUUGAGGCACGAAAGCGUGGGGAGCAAACAGGAUUAGAUACCCCUGUAGUC
rnacentral:rRNA from 1 species